rnacentral:rRNA from 1 species
CAACAGGAUUAGAUACCCUGGUAGUCCACGCCGUAAACGAUGCUAACUCGUUUUUGGGCUUUCGGGUUCAGAGACUAAGCGAAAGUGAUAAGUUAGCCACCUGGGGAGUACGUUCGCAAGAAUGAAACUCAAAGGAAUUGACGGGGGCCCGCACAAGCGGUGGAUUAUGUGGUUUAAUUCGAUGAUACGCGAGGAACCUUACCAAGGCUUAAAUGGGAAUUGACAGACGCAGAAAUGUGUUUUUCUUCGGACAAUUUUCAAGGUGCUGCAUGGUUGUCGUCAGCUCGUGCCGUGAGGUGUUAGGUUAAGUCCUGCAACGAGCGCAACCCCUGUUACUAGUUGCUACCAUUAAGUUGAGGACUCUAGUAAGACUGCCUACGCAAGUAGAGAGGAAGGUGGGGAUGACGUCAAAUCAUCACGGCCCUUACGCCUUGGGCCACACACGUAAUACAAUGGCCGGUACAGAGGGCAGCUACACAGCGAUGUGAUGCGAAUCUCGAAAGCCGGUCUCAGUUCGGAUUGGAGUCUGCAACUCGACUCUAUGAAGCUGGAAUCGCUAGUAAUCGCGCAUCAGCCAUGGCGCGGUGAAUACGUUCCCGGGCCUUGUACACACCGCCCGUCAAGCCAUGGAAGUCUGGGGUACCUGAAGUCGGUGACCGUAAAAGG